rnacentral:misc_RNA from 1 species
GUAUUGAUUGCGUGUGACCGCAAAAAUAACAUUCUACACUGUAUCAAGUUUUGUGUGAAAACGUGAGCCCUCCUGCAAAGGGGACCCACGCGGUGAUGCACAAAGGGGUAAAAUGGAUGUGCGAGGGCACUCGGGCGUGCACAACCUUUUUUUGGAAGGCCAGCGACAGCCCUUGUACCUUCGUUGUAUGAUAAUGAUCCUUCCGCAGGUUCACCUACGGAAA